GAAAGAAACCAGACUUUGAGCCUGGUGUGCGAUCGAGAGAAGGGCCAGGGAACUCUUUCCCUCUCAUAAACCCUAAGUCACUAAAAUUCCAUCAAUUAAAGGUGAAAUUAGCAAGGAAUCGAAUUCAUGAGCUAGGAAUUUUGAUGUACUAAGUGUUCUUAACCCCAAGAUAUGCGUCGUAUUAGCAAGGGAUCAAGCAUGGAAAGCUAACGGGUCAAGAGGAGACAAGGAAGUGAAUGCGAAAACGGACGCUCAAGGUAAGUGAUUCCGUAAUCACUUCUUAGUUUGUUUAAGUAAUGUAGCAUUUUAAUUAAUUAAACAUGAUGUUUAAUGUCAAAUAUGGAUUUAGUUGAAUGAAAUUGGUGAAUUUUUCUAAGUAGACCAAACGGGUCAAAAUGAGGUCUUAUGAUUAUAUCGAAAAGUUGUAUAAGAAAUGGCUACGGUAGUAUAAACGGUUAAUGGGUAGAAUUGCACAUAAGUACGCAAUCCGGGAAUCGGAGAUGUGGUUUAAUAGUCAAAAGACUCAGAUGUGAGUUGGUUUAAUAGAUAUUUAUUUGCGCAAGUGGAGGUUUUAGUAGCAAGUUUGAUACGUAGGUUUAAAUGGAAUGAAUGAAUUUAAUGAAUACCGGGUAUCGGUUGCGUAAACCCCAAGUACGAAACUCUAGAUAAUAUAAGAGUAUUAUGGAUAUAAUGUUCAUGUAUGUUUUGGGUUAAAACAAAGGAGUGGUUUGAUGAAAACAUAAACGGGUCAAAUAAUUAGAAAAUGGUUAUUAAGCCGAUAGCGUGUAAGUUAAGAAUUUCCUUAAUCCGGAUAUGGGAUUUUAAGUUCAUGUGAUAGAAUGUGAAUUUACAAGCAUGUAGGAAGAAACGUGAGGUUAAACGGACAAUCAGGUUAAAAGUUAUGCGAGUUUUAGUGGGCGUUUUGUAUCUGCACCCGGAGUAUGGAACGCCGGGUUUGGGAGUAUGGAACGCCGGGCAGAAACCCAAACGCCCAUGCUUCACUGUCAAACGCUGGUUCCAUGUUAAAGUGAACGUCGGGGUGUUCCAAACAAGCCUAGAUCACUUUCCUUGGGUUCCUUUGAUGUGUGUAAAGCUCCAUGUGAUAGGUUUAUGAUCCGGAAUCAUCACGCAAUCUUCCACCACUACCCUACAUGUAAAAAUGCAUCAAAGUAACAUGUCUCGAUACAAAUUCGAUGCUAAAACAUGUAAAUAUUAACCACUUAGGCGUACCAAAAACAUAUGCAUCAGGUAUGUAUGUAUGUAUGUAUGUAUAUAUAUGAUUGUAUGUAGAUAUGUAGGUGCGUAUGAUCAGACGUAUGAAUAUAUGAAUGCACGAAGUAGGAUUUAUCGCCUAUGAAAAGAAUGGGACAGGUAUGCAUGUAUACAUGGUUUCAAUACGUUUGAGUAUGGACGUUACUAAUGAUGUGCUUGAGAUUGGAAUGUAAUGCAGGAAUGAGAACGCAGACUCUUGUAGAAUUGAAGCCGAACCUUGAAGCCGAACUCGGAACAAAGGAAUCCGAGAGGAUAGUCGAAUGAAUCAAAGUUUAUGUUGUCGAAUGUUAUAUGAUUUUUAAUUUGUAUCAGAUUAUUGUUGUAUGACGUUGUCAAUGACUAAUGGUUAAGUUGUAUGUGGUGUCCACAGGUACUACACGGAUUUCUUCUACCACUAUCGAAGAUAAGCGGGCAUAGAUCGAGUCGAAUAACAAGGGUUGUACGGAAAGAACGGUUACGUAGUCUUAAUUUUGUAACGCAUUAAUUUGUAAAAAGGGAAGUGAAUUUUGUAAGCUUCUUCUUGAAUGUGUGUAUUGUUAUAAGAUCGUAAAGAAAUUUUAAAGCUAUUUUUCCGCUGCGUUAUCUUUAAGUUCUUACACGACGAUCUUACAGGGAAUUGUUCUUAUUACGAACGGGUCAUGCCCAAAUUUUUCUUAAAUAAUAGUAUGGUAAUAUUACUUUUCAGACUAAGAAAUAUGGGCGUUACAAGUUGGUAUCAGAGCCCUUGUUUGAGUGAAUCAAGCACGAGAAGAUAAAUGCUUGAACUCAAACAUGUGUGCUCUUGUGAUAAGGAACCCGUACAAUCCAUGACUCGAUCAAAAUCUAAAGGUAAAAAUGGAAUGGAAGCGUGUAUGUAUGCAUUCAUAUGAGGAAACUAACGGUUUUUGUAUGUGCAAGGUAAGCUUAAAAGUUUGAAAAGGAUGAUCCGUGAAUGCAGAAUAGGAUGAACGCUAAGGCAGGCAAAGAUGCAAAUAGGCAAAUUAACCCCAGGUACAUGCUACUAAUAUAUAUGGGUACCGAUGUUAAAAAGAAAAAGGAAGAGAUCUCCUUGGGAGGGUAAUUAUUAAACGAAAGACAAUGAUGUGGUCUUGGGGAAGUUUUAGAAAUAUGCACGAAACUGAAACCCACUUCUCGGACAUAAGGCGAUGAUUACACGAAGGCACGAAACUAGUGUGUGGAUUGCGCACCUGGCCAGUACGCAAGAAGCAUAUGACGUUCGUGAGACCGUGGUAAUUAUCGCAGGUAUGUCUGGUAGAACUGGGUAGCAGGUGGGCGUGCGGGGGAAAUAGGUAGUAAGACUCUCGGGAAAAUUGAGGAUACUACGUAAGAGUAAAAAGUAUAAGUGAUAAGAAUGAAGAAUGUUGAAUCCGUAAGAAAGUACGGAUCAACAAGAUAUGAAUGCAAAAAUUUGAAUCCGUGAGACGGAUUCAAGGAAUGAAGGAUAUGAAUGAUGCGAAUCCCUUGCGGAUUUGGUUAUGAUAGUGAAGGCUAUAAUAAGCUAUGCAAGUCGACCGGUUCAAGUUGAACAAGUCGAGUAAGGAUAAGGUACCAUCCGUUUAGAACGGGUGGUCGUGAAUGCGAUAACGAAUGUAUGAAGUUCAAUCCGUUAUACGGAUAGAACGAAAGAUUUAUGUUGAAAGCAAUUAACCCGAUGUUACCGGGUCGUAAGUGGUAUGCUUGAAUCUCAUUAUGAGAGUAUAUGCCGUUACCCACUUAAUUGGGUAAUCGAAUGCGUAAAAGAAAUGAAAGUAUAUAAGCGAAAGGAACCAAAAUGUUGGUAUUGUAAGCGAAAUAAGUAUUAUGACUAACUCUUAAAACAGGAAGGGCAAGUGUUUGCAACAAAACAUUGGAACAGAGAAGCGAUGAGAUCGUAAGCAUGUCUGAAUUGAAAAGGAGUACAAACAUGUACUUCGAUACGCAUGUAUAUAUAUAUAAUAAGAAAUAAGUGGCAGUUUGACCCUGAAAAGUCAAACUGCAGAAGCUGAGAAAUAAUUAAAUUUCAAACCAUGGGAGUACUAGAGAAGAGAGGAAAUGUGUAGUGUACUACACCAAAUGAGUUAAAGAAUUACGAAAUAAUGGUUAUGUAUUUACCCGUCAAGAACGGGUCAAACAAUGAGAAUGAUAUAUUAAGAAAUGGCCAUGUAUUGACCCGUUAUGAAUAGGUCUAACACACUAAUGCUUUAAAAGAAUCUUGAAAGUAUUAAUAUGUAAACAAGGUGAAGUAAUAAACAUCAUGUUUAAAUAAAUUUGAAUGAGAUGUGAUAAUCCCCAAUCUUAUAAUGAGUAUGGCAGAUAUCAAAGUGUGAUAAACCUAUCAAGACCAGUGAAAGAAUGCUCAUGAGCGGAAGCUCAUUACACGGAUGAAUGAGAUCAAUCCAGGGACGUUAUAAUUUGUAAUGAAGUGGUCGGUUUGCUUUCGCGGGUCAUGGCAUUACGCAAAAAAAAAAAGUAAGGAUAUGCGUCGUAUUAGCAAGGGAUCAAGCAUGGAAAGCUAACGGGUCAAGAGGAGACAAGGAAGUGAAUGCGAAAACGGACGCUCAAGGUAAGUGAUUCCGUAAUCACUUCUUAGUUUGUUUAAGUAAUGUAGCAUUUUAAUUAAUUAAACAUGAUGUUUAAUGUCAAAUAUGGAUUUAGUUGAAUGAAAUUGGUGAAUUUUUCUAAGUAGACCAAACGGGUCAAAAUGAGGUCUUAUGAUUAUAUCGAAAAGUUGUAUAAGAAAUGGCUACGGUAGUAUAAACGGUUAAUGGGUAGAAUUGCACAUAAGUACGCAAUCCGGGAAUCGGAGAUGUGGUUUAAUAGUCAAAAGACUCAGAUGUGAGUUGGUUUAAUAGAUAUUUAUUUGCGCAAGUGGAGGUUUUAGUAGCAAGUUUGAUACGUAGGUUUAAAUGGAAUGAAUGAAUUUAAUGAAUACCGGGUAUCGGUUGCGUAAACCCCAAGUACGAAACUCUAGAUAAUAUAAGAGUAUUAUGGAUAUAAUGUUCAUGUAUGUUUUGGGUUAAAACAAAGGAGUGGUUUGAUGAAAACAUUAACGGGUCAAAUAAUUAGAAAAUGGUUAUUAAGCCGAUAGCGUGUAAGUUAAGAAUUUCCUUAAUCCGGAUAUGGGAUUUUAAGUUCAUAUGAUAGAGUGUGAAUUUACAAGCAUGUAGGAAGAAACGUGAGGUUAAACGGACAAUCGGGUUAAAAGUUAUGCGAGUUUUAGUGGGCGUUUUGUAUCUGCACCCGGAGUAUGGAACGCCGGGUUUGGGAGUAUGGAACGCCGGGCAGAAACCCAAACGCCCAUGCUUCACUGUCAAACGCUGGUUCCAUGUUAAAGUGAACGUCGGGGUGUUCCAAACAAGCCUAGAUCACUUUCCUUGGGUUCCUUUGAUGUGUGUAAAGCUCCAUGUGAUAGGUUUAUGAUCCGGAAUCAUCACGCAAUCUUCCACCACUACCCUACAUGUAAAAAUGCAUCAAAGUAACAUGUCUCGAUACAAAUUCGAUGCUAAAACAUGUAAAUAUUAACCACUUAGGCGUACAAAAAACAUAUGCAUCAGGUAUGUACGUAUGUAUGUAUGUAUAUAUAUGAUUGUAUGUAGAUAUGUAGGUGCGUAUGAUCAGACGUAUGUAUAUAUGAAUGCACGAAGUAGGAUUUAUCGCCUAUGAAAAGAAUGGGACAGGUAUGCAUGUAUACAUGGUUUCAAUACGUUUGAGUAUGGACGUUACUAAUGAUGUGCUUGAGAUUGGAAUGUAAUGCAGGAAUGAGAACGUCAGACUCUUGUAGAAUUGAAGCCGAACCUUGAAGCCGAACUCGGAACAAAGGAAUCCGAGAGGAUAGUCGAAUGAAUCAAAGUUUAUGUUGUCGAAUGUUAUAUGAUUUUUAAUUUGUAUCAGAUUAUUGUUGUAUGACGUUGUCAAUGACUAAUGGUUAAGUUGUAUGUGGUGUCCACAGGUACUACACGGAUUUCUUCUACCACUAUCGAAGAUAAGCGGGCAUAGAUCGAGUCGAAUAACAAGGGUUGUACGGAAAGAACGGUUACGUAGUCUUAAUUUUGUAACGCAUUAGUUUGUAAAAAGGGAAGUGAAUUUUGUAAGCUUCUUCUUGAAUGUGUGUAUUGUUAUAAGAUCGUAAAGAAAUUUUAAAGCUA